rnacentral:lncRNA from 1 species
AGACUCGUCCAGAAAACUGCGUCCAGGAAGGAAGUGACAGAAGACGAAUGGGAAAAGGAGAACAGCUCACAGCGUUUGAAACAUCGCGAAGUUGUACCCGUCAGCACCUGCUGAGGGCUUUGUUGUCCAAACCCUGACAGGUAAAAAAAUUCCUGCAGAAUAAAGCCAGACCAGCUGGCUUUGAAGAGAAACCCCCCAGUUUGGGCUGCGUUUGCCUCCUCUCCUUUUCUAUGAAGACCGAGGCUUUGCCCCCUUGAUCGUCAAGCCGUGAGAUGCGUGAUCUCUCUGCACAAGUGUCUGGCAGGCCGAGGGCACCACUUUCAGAUAAAAACAUAGACCUGAAUGGCAUCAUCCAGUAUCCAAGGAAACCAUUGUGUCUGUAACCAGCUAAUGAGCUGCAACAGAGCCUGGCCUUCAUUUUCAGCAAAUUAAGUUCAUCCCUCAUAGGAAUUGUGGUCUGGCUGUGGCACCGCUCCUAGGUAUGGGUGGGAUUUGUUUCUUCUAGCAGUUGUAGGUUAGCCACAUGGGUACGUGCUGUCGCACCACACAACAAAAUUUUCUCUAUAAUAAC